rnacentral:lncRNA from 1 species
AGCAUCAGCUGCCUUCUAGCUAUGCUACAACCAAUGGCCACAUGGGCAAACGUCCCAUGAUCUCUAUAUAGUUGGCCAAUUUAUUAUAACAAACUAACAGCUUAACAAACUCUCCUAACGGUCUAACAAUCUGAGCAGGCCUCCUUACCUCCUCUAUAUAAAGGGAGGCAAGGUAUCCUCCAUAAGGUAAGUCUGAAUUGGUAAAGUUCAGACUCUGCUCAAUCAUUUUCAGCUCCCCCACUAAAGGGAAUAAGAGUCUCCUCUCUCUAUUUGCCCACA